UUUGGAAUUGACGGAGCUGUGUGGGGGGAAGAAAAAAAAACAAAAAACACACAAAGGCUUUCCUUCAUGUGCUGUGUGGAAUAAAAUGUAAUCCCGCAACAAAAGAAAAAGAAUCGUCCGUUCAUUUUAGGCUCAUUAAUAUUCAAAUCCAUUCAAACAAGUCCUUUAAUUAAAAUAUCACAAAUGCAGUUAAAAAAAAAGAAAAUAAUUGACAGGCUUUUUUGUCAGUGGGGUCAGAGCGUGCGUGUGUGUGUGUGUGUGUGUGUGUGUGUGUGUGUGUGUGUGUGUGUGUGUUAGAUAAUCAGACAUGCACAGUGAUAACGUUAUUAAAGCCCAGCGUGUGUUCUUCAUGCUGUCAUUGCUGUGUACGGCUAGUUUCACAUUGGCAGCGCUUCGGAGGUGCCGAUCGCAUGGAACGUGUAAAAACUCUCGCCUCGUCGAACCCCGUGGCACCGCGGGCAUUGCAUAUAUUAGCUCAAAACAGGUUUAGGAGGAAUUUGUCACGCUAUAUCAUAUCCAGACAAAGUCAAAACGGGGAUCGUUUCACACCCGCUUUUAAUUGCGGCCGACUAAUUAGGACGGGGAAUUGAUGGCGGCGAGCGAUUUCAAUUAAGCAUGGCUCAGCGGAAUGAAUGGCGACGUAAUCUGAUUUCCCAGCAAAUUGGAUGGAAGCGGUGCGAUCACGGCGGUUCUCACUCAUCGCGGCGCUGGCACCAACAGGCUGUUAGCACCCUCGGGCAUGAAAGCGAGAGUGUGUCUCACACACACACACACACACACACACACAUGCACGCAAGGGGUGUAAGGAUGUGUCUAUUUGAUUCAGAGCAACCCUUUCAGUAUUUACAGCCGCUUCAGCUCAAGUGUUCAUUCUGGAAGGCGUCUCUGUUUUGGAAAAAUUUGACGUCACACUUUUUUUAACUGGUGUUUAUUAUUUCAUGACAUUAUCAAGUCCGUUUCUUUCGACACUGUGUGUGUGUCUGUCAGUCUCAGGGAAGGAGGCGUGGCCUGUGUGUGUCAGUCUCAGGGAAAGAGGCGUGGCCUGUUUGUCUGUCAGUCUCAAUGAAGGAGGCGUGGUGUCAGUGUCUGUCAGUCUCAGUGAAGGAGGCGUGGUCUGUGUGUCUGUCAGUCUCAGUGAAGGAGGCGUGGUCUCAGUGUCUGUCAGUCUCAGUGAAGGAGGUGUGUCCUCAGUGUCAGUCAGUCUCAGUGUAGGAGGCUCCGUCUCUGUCUCUUUUUUUCUGAUUGCUCCUUCUCUAUUUUUCUCCUCCCUUCUUUCUCUCUGUUACUCUCUUUUUCCUCCUCCGUCUUUUCCUCUCAUUUCCCUCCUAUCUGUCACACUUUCUCAGUGUUUCUCAUACUAUCACGCACUUUCUUCUCUCUCUCUCUCACCCCGUUUUCUCUUUCCUUUAUUCUCUUUCUGAUUCCUUUUCUCACUCCCCCCCCCCCUCAACUUCUUUCUGUUUUUUUCCCCCUCUCU
ensembl:lncRNA